AGACACUAGAAAACGAGAAGGAAACAGGGCAGGAAUAACGACUGGCGGUGAUGGGGCUUAGUGCAUCAGCGGUACCCUCUCUCUCAUUUCCCUUGUGCUGCACGCCCAGCCGCUUCGCUGGUCCGCACGCCCAAUAGAGCCCGCUCGCACAGUCGUCAUCACGAGGGCCAGGCGCACCGCCUCCUGCUCCGCUCUUCGCCACGCCAAGCUUCCCCUUCUCGCGUUUGCGUUUGCUCUUCUUUCUGUUCGGGGCGGCGCCUGCUCUUGUGUGACGAGUCGGCAGCGCUUCUUGCGCCUCUCCUCUUCCCCGGCUGCAUCCUCGACAGUUCUCCUCCUCGGCAUCAUGAACGCUGCGCACGACCUCUACAUGGAGUGCUGUCAACGGCACGGCGUGAAGCCAAACAGCGACAUCGAGGCUCAGGUGAUGGCGUCGGAUCUCCUUCACAUGCGACUGAUCGAUGCCUCGCACACCUUCCUCGGCCGCCUUGGCGUGCUCGCCGUGCUCUCGCUCGUGCGGCAGCAUCGGUGCAUAGAAGAGGUGCGCCUGCCCCAGAACAGCGUUGAUGAGACAUGCAUGAGUCUCCUGGCAGACAUUAUCACCGACGCCCACCCGAGUCUGCGCAGUGUCGACGUCGCCGGCAACCUCCUUUCCACACCAGCUAUUCGCCGAGUGUGGGCGGCGGCCCGGCAAAACACGCGCUUCACUCACCUCGUCCUGGAGGGCUGCGGGGUGAUGGACGAGUGGGUCACACGGCUGCAGACAACGCUGCGGGCUAACGAGGAUAUGGAGCUGCACGGCUACGAGCCAUAUGGCAUACCGCGCAGCCCUCACUCGUGGCACACCGUCUUUCUCUUAACUCUUGGCGCCCGCGAGGCGGUGCAAGAAUACUGCGAGAAGUGCCUGCCUGCGGUGAACAAGUACAUGGCCGCAGCGCGAGUCCGCGUGGCGGCCCUCACCCUCAGCGAAGGGGACUCGGCGGAGCAGGUCGAGUCCAAGCUGGCGCGGUGCCAGGACGCUUUCAACCAUCAACUGACGUGGUGCGUUGCCCUCCUCGGCGCCGAGCCGUUCUCGAAGCCACAGCUGUCUGCGCUGGCACAGGUGCUGUGCCAGAAGCCGCCGUCCCAACUCCCACUGCGUGACAAGAUGGGAAAACUGCGGCCCCGCGUCUACCGUGCGUCGCGCUCCUUCUUCUGCUACACGCCGAUGUCAUGGGAGGUGUCGGGCGGCGUCAACGACGUGGUUCCGGCAAGCCAGUGGCUGCGCAGUGCGGGCUUCUCCGGAGCCGCGUGUUACGAGUCCCUCACGGCGACGGUGACCGUGCCGGCGGCGGUGAUGACACCGAGAAACCGAGUGGUGCGCUGGCAGAGCGACCUCUUCACCUCCCUUCAGAUGACGUUCCGGGAACCCGCGGUGGACGGGAGUACGCCAGCCGUCGUGCACGCGGACGAGGUGCAGGGCCUCGAGGCGUCGCAGCUCUUCUACACCAACGCCGACGAGAUCGAUAUGGUGCGCGGCUUUGUGCUGUGUGGCCGCUUUCACCCCAAAAAGACGGCGCUCGUGCUGGGGUACGUCUCUGGCCCCUACCGAGACAGUAGCUCCCCAUUCAUUCUCUACGGCGCCGGCUGCAUUGGCAAGAGCAGCAUCCUGUGCAACGUGGCGAGUCUGCUGUGGGAGGGGCGGCCCAGCGUGGGUGGCGAGGUGCCGGCGCGCGUGGUGUGCCACGUCGUGGACGUCGAUCACUGCAGCGUUGCCGUGUUUUUGUACCGCCUUCUUCACCUCUUCGCCCCUGGGAGCACCCUUUGGUUCACCAGCGUUGAUGCACUGGCGGAGGGUGUGCGGGAUGCGAUCCGCACCUACGCCGGACCAACGGUAGCUCUGUUGCUGGGCCGCAUCGACCUGCUCGACACAUGUGGGUGCCACUGCAGCAUACUGGCAGCGUGGCUGCCGCAUAUCCUCCCCCAGGCGGUCCGUAUCGUGGUGUCUCUCGACACCGAGAGCCCGGUGCUCCCGCUGCUGCGUAAGCGCAUGCCGCAGCCUUUCGAGUGCUUGUGCCCGCCCAUGGCGGACAUAAACUCGCUGCAGCUCUUCAAGACGUAUCUGAAGGAGAGAAACGUGGUGCUGCCCGGGAUGGACAUGUCUGAGCUCAAGUCACGCGGGGCCCUCGGCAUGUCAGAGAAGAGCUACCUGCAGAAGGAAGAGGCUCUGACGGUGCUAUACCCGCGCCUGGCUUCGUCGUAUGCGCACCACCUCUUGAACACCGGGAGCGACGUUGAAUCCGAGUACGAGGCGCACCUGCUGAUCGAGGGCGCGCUGCCACCGACAGUCGCGGAGCUAGUACAGUCGCUGCACGACAAGGCUGUGAUGCUGCAUCCGCAGAUCACUGUGGAGACGCUGCUCGUACUGGUUUCUCUGGCCCCUUUGCCGGCCUCGGAGCUGGUGUACAUCUGCGAGGAACUGGGCUCGUGCCCCCGCCACACCACCCUUUCUGCCUUGCUGAUGCUGUCGGACAUGGGCCUCUUCCUGUGGUACAAAGAUGCCACCGCCCAUGUCGCCCACCCGAUCCUCAAGACGCUCUUUUUGGAUAUCUGCCGCGAGCACGUGCCGCGACUCAGUGUGUUGCUAGAGUCCCACCUGUACAGACUCGUCAUCACCUACAGUGCGGAGGUGCCGCAUGCGUUUUGGCACCUGGCGCCUUUGAUGAUAGAAAACGGCAACAUGCGGCAGGCAGUGCAACUCCUGUGCAACCCGCUGCUCGUGGACGCCAUGUUGCGGCGCGGGCCGGUGCACCGGCUGCACGUACUGGAUGCGUUUCUGCAUCUCCUGCAGGCGCGGACGUUACUGCGUGAGGUGGCCUCCCUUGUUGGUCCGCCUGUGCCGCAAGUGAUGGCCGAGGGCCCUCUCAUGUGCUGCCUCCGCGAGGUGGCGAACUACUCCUCCGACCUCUACCAGACGGCGCUCCUGCGCCGCUCCUUCUCGCCGUAUGCUUCCGCGGAGGCCGCGACGAAGUGCAUUACCCCGCAGCUGUUUCUGCGACCCCUUAACGAUGGCCAGGAGAACACCGCCACGGUGUCGGCGCGCGUGAGUGAGGCGUGCUCGUGGUGCCACUGCAGAGGCGGCUGUGUGGUAGCAGCCACUAACGAGUCCGUGUUUGUGUUCACCUCAGACCUCGGCAAGCCCAUCGCCGAGCUGCACAUGCCCUUUGAGCGGCAGAAGCGCAUCACGGGUGUACUUCACGCAGCCGGCACACGCGUGCUGGUGGCGAGCGAGACGCAGGUGCUUGUCUGGGACUACGAAAGCAACCUGAACUUCCUCUUCGCUGACAUAAGCAUUGAGGCGCGGGCGACGAAUCUCGACACGUUCGGCUCCCUGCUCGUGGCCACCAGUACCGCCACAAACCAGCUGUGCCUCAUUGAUGUGCUGAAGAAGCGCAUUGUGCGGGAGCUGCCGGACAUGGAGGAGGGCGUUCGCCAGCGUGGUUUCUUCUGCGGCAACCGUCUACUGCUGCUCAGUCGCUGCUGCCUGUGCCUCUACGAUGAAGAGAUGAAGGAGUACGUCGCCUUUACACACGACAGCCUCGUGACCACCGUUAGCUGUAACCGCGACGGCCGCGUUUUGGUGUCGUACGCCGGCACAUACCUGCACGUCUGGACCUCCGCCGGUGAGCUUCUGCACCGCAUCGACGUUGGGCCCGAUCCGCUCGUGCGGCUGCGCAUGAGUGCCACUGGUGCCCACUAUGUGACUCAGCAGGGCACCAUUCUGCAGGUGUGGCGCACUCUCGCCGGAGCCGCAUGCAGCACCCUGCGCAGCCCCUUCAGCGUGGACUCGGAUAUCGAGUACGUCACGUUCACAGAGGACUCUGCGAAGGUGGUGGCGCGCUCUGGGCCUUACAUUAUCGUGUGGGACCCAGAUAAGGGAAGCCUCAUCGGCGCCGAGUCGGCCCCUGUGGGCCUCAUACAGCACGUGGCAGUGCAUGAUUCCAACGUGUUCGCGACCACCACCACCGGCGACGUUCAUUCGUGGUCGUUGGAGCGAGGACUCUCCUCUAUAGACCAGGUCAAGGAGGGACAGCGCACCACCAACAUUCUGCGAAACGCCAAGGUAUCGACGCAGUCGGUGCGGAGCGUCUCGACGAACCGCGCAGGGACCCUUCUUGUGACGGUGGAUGCAGCGCACUACCUGCGGCUCUACUCACUCAUCACCGGGGCACCGAUCGAGCACACCGUCGGGCGCGUGCGGAGCGCGGUGGCGGUGGGGCCCGAUAUGGUAGUUUUUAUGCCGCAGGAGGCGAGCCACCUCGGCUUCUACUACCUGGGAGGGAAGACCCAGCUUGACAAGCGCGCGCUCCCCAAGACCGCGCUGCCAGAGGCGGACUACGCCCUCUACGUGUCCCCUGACGAGCUCUGCGUCGGCGUCACGGUCCAUCAGUGCCACCACAGUCGCACGCUCAUCUACGAGGUGGAGAGGGGCGAGACCACGUUGUGCCAGCUGCUGGGCCACGCAGGUCGGAUCAUCGAGGUGAGCUUCUUUGGCAGCUUCGCCUUUACGGUUGGUGAAAAGGACGCGUGCGUCCGGCUCUGGAGUCUCUCGCGCAAGGCGGAGCGCACGUCCUAUACGCAUCCCUGCCCACUGGUAGCUGCCGCCGGCAAUGGAUCGGGGAUGCUUUUUUGCGUGGACGCCGAGGGGGCCGUCGUGCGUUUGCAUGUCGACAACAUCGUCUCUGUGAAGCACGCCGCCCUCGUCGUCACGAGCCUGAAGCUUCACGCUGCUGCGCCGCUUGUGCAAGCAAGCGCCAUCCUGCAACUGUCCGUGUAUAAGAAUUACCUCAUCCUGGUCCGGGCCACGGGCGAGCUGCUGCUGCUGGGCACGCUGUGCGACGACGUCGGCCACCGCGUUGCCUUCCUCGAUUGCCAGCGCGUGUGUGUGUGUACCAUCAAGGACGCCCCUGUGCUCCUCACCGGCCACGGCCAAGGCAAGGUGAUACUGAACUCGCUGCUGCACGCCGGCGUGAGAGAGAAGAGUCGCAGGUCUUCAGGACGAUAGGCGCCGCACUGCCAUGUGUCUGGGCGUUUCUGUGUGUGUGUGUGUGGGUGUUGUUUCUCAGAUGUAAAGUACGCUGACUUCGCCGCAGGAGGGGAGGAGAUCGGUGGCACAUCAAGCCAGCACUGCCACAUUGGCCGGUGGCGUGGAUGUCGAUGCCGCGGUGGUUUGCACCAUGGCCAGAUGUCUGUUUGACGUGCCCUCGCCUUCCGCUCUUUCUUCGUUGUGUGUCUCCUCGUUUUGUGGAACCGCAAUUGCCCGCUUCUCUUCGUCCCCCCUCCCCGCGUGCUUGUUUGUGUGCACCUGUCUCCCGUACACACGCAC
rnacentral:misc_RNA from 1 species